GACGGGACCCGCACAAGCGGUGGAUGAUGUGGAUUAAUUCGAUGCAACGCGAAAACCUUACCUACCUUGACAUGUCCGGAAUCCCGAAGAGAUUUGGGAGUGCUCGCAAGAGAGCCGGAACACAGGUGCUGCAUGGCUGUCGUCAGCUCGUGUCGUGAGAUGUUGGGUUAAGUCCCGCAACGAGCGCAACCCUUGUCAUUAGUUGCCAUCAUUUGGUUGGGCACUCUAAUGAGACUGCCGGUGACAAACCGGAGGAAGGUGGGGAUGACGUCAAGUCCUCAUGGCCCUUAUGGGUAGGGCUUCACACGUCAUACAAUGGUCGGUACAGAGGGUUGCCAACCCGCGAGGGGGAGCUAAUCCCACAAAGCCGAUCGUAGUCCGGAUCGCAGUCUGCAACUCGACUGCGUGAAGUCGGAAUCGCUAGUAAUCGUGGAUCAGCAUGUCACGGUGAAUACGUUCCCGGGUCUU
rnacentral:rRNA from 1 species